GAUUUCAAUGCUAAUGGACCACACACAUAUAUUCAUCCCCUCGAGCUAAUAUUACCAUCUCAUUUUGUCAGAUCCAUUAUACGCAAAGAUUCUAAUGUAUUUAUGUUUUGUUUUGCAUUUAUAUAUAAAAGCGAUGAAACAGCAAACUAGCUAUUUCGAUAAAUACGAAGAUAAUCAUAACACAAAAUAUUUACACAUAAAAUUCUUCCGAUUAAAACAUAUCGAGUCCAUUUAGGGA